CUAAAUUGCACAAGCUACACUGUUAAAAAUUUCUAUAUAUGGAACUUCCUGCACUGUAUUGGAAGUUUGAUUCGAAUACGGAACAAUGAAUUCACUAUACAUUUACUGUUUAUUCAAUUUACAAACACAAUAAAUUUACUACACAAUUUAGUAAAUUCAAAGUACUUCUUUGGGUUUUUCUUACAAAUUUUAGUAAAAUCAAAAAUUAUCAUUUAAAUAUAUCUAAGACAAAUACA